UGACCAACCUGCCCCUUGCUCUGGGAUAACCCCCGGGGAAACCGGAGCUAAUACCGGGUACGACGCGCGAAGGCAUCUUCUGCGUGUAGAAAGAUUUAUCGGUCAGGGAUGGGCUCGCGGCCUAUCAGCUUGUUGGUGGGGUAACGGCCCACCAAGGCGACGACGGGUAGCCGGCCUGAGAGGGCGACCGGCCACACUGGGACUGAGACACGGCCCAGACUCCUACGGGAGGCA
rnacentral:rRNA from 1 species